GUGGGGAAUAUUGGGCAAUGGGCGCAAGCCUGACCCAGCCAUGCCGCGUGAGUGAUGAAGGUCUUCGGAUCGUAAAGCUCUGUGGGGAGGGACGAACCCGCUCGGUGUUAACACCACCGGGCCUUGACGGUACCUCCUUAGCAAGCACCGGCUAACUCCGUGCCAGCAGCCGCGGUAAUACGGAGGGUGCAAACGUUGCUCGGAAUCAUUGGGCGUAAAGCGCACGUAGGCGGCCCGGCAAGUCGGAUGUGAAAGCCCUCGGCUUAACCGAGGAAGUGCAUUCGAAACUGCCAGGCUUGAAUAUGGAAGAGGGUCGCGGAAUUCCCGGUGUAGAGGUGAAAUUCGUAGAUAUCGGGAGGAACACCAGUGGCGAAGGCGGCGACCUGGGCCAAUAUUGACGCUGAGGUGCGAAAGCGUGGGGAGCAAACAGGAUUAGAAACCCUAGUAGUCC
rnacentral:rRNA from 1 species